GCCCGCCGGGGUGUCAGCCAGGGAGAGCGGGGGCCCGCGAGAGGAACUGUUCCGUCCCGGACGAAGGGAGAAACAAACAGCGACGCGAGCGCGAAAAAACCAUCACCCCCGAGCCCGUGUUAGUGUGUGUGUGCGCGCGCGCGUGUGUGUUGUGUGUUUCGACAUAAUGCCCGUUUCCGUCCGCCGGGUAUGACCAGCACCACUGCGGGACGCUGACUUCUGCAGCGAGCGCUUUGUCGUCUGCUACCACGACAGACUUGACUAGGUAGGCAAUGUGCCGGCCGCGUCGUUCCCUGUCGUGAUCGUGGUCCUGCGCGACGAGGCACGAAAAAUCUCAAGCGGUUGACUUCUCUUCUGGUGUUUCUCUUUUAGCUUGGCUCGCUCUCCUUUGGGAAGCGGUUCGCGCGGCUAACGCACAACUUGUGGCUCGAGUGGUGUGAAAAUCGCGCCGUAGACGCGCAGCCGCCUUCGCGACAGGCUUGACUGUGAGUUUCGUCUGCAUCGUCUGCAUCGUUGUCGUCUGCGAGCAGGAUUACGCCCUUGGAAUCGUCUGCUAAGCAACUGAAGAUCAAGACAGAUACAGUACUCAGAAUGACGGAAUACGGCCUCACGGAAGAGCAAGUCGCAGAGUUUAAGGAGGCCUUCAUGCUGUUCGACAAGGACUCCGACGGCCGCAUAACGUCAUCCGAGCUGGGAAUCGUCAUGCGUUCUUUGGGACAGAGACCGACCGAGACCGAACUGCGGAACAUGGUCACGCUCGUGGACACAGACGGGAACGGGACGAUCGAGUUCAACGAGUUCCUGUUCAUGAUGUCUAAGAAGAUGAAGGAGACGGACAGCGAAGAGGAGCUCCGGGAGGCGUUCCGCGUGUUCGAUAAGAACGGCGACGGCUUCAUCUCGGCGUCUGAACUGCGGCACGUCAUGACCAACCUGGGGGAGAAGCUCACCGACGAGGAGGUCGAGGACAUGAUCCGAGAAGCGGACCUCGACGGAGACGGGCUCGUCAACUACGACGAGUUCGUCACAAUCUUGACGGCUCCGAAGUGAGCGAUGGCGCCCAGCCGCGGAGCCUCGGCCUCUCCAGUGAGACAAUGACGAAGACGUCGACGUGUGUCCACGCGCGCGAAUCUUCCAGUUUGGCAAUACACCACCGCGCCCUGCGGGACCGGUCGAAUCAUCAAAGCAGCGAAGAAUGCCUCCCCCCUCCCCCACCCCCCUUCGAACCGCUACAGACGCUGCCCGGUGCGGGUGGACGCACAGACCUUGAUUCCUUUGAAACCUAUAUAGCCAUCCACCAACUGCGUGCGAUAACUCGGAAUUCUCUCUCCGUUUUUUUUUUUUUUUUUUUUUGCCUUUCUGUUUUCUUUUUUCGCACUGUAACAUACAGCACUCCCGGAAAGGUGCAACGAUAGUCCCUGGCUAUAGCAACAUCCUGGUUUAGGCGCUUGCAAGACGGCGAGUAACAAAAGACGCGCAGAAAAAAAUAAUCCGUGGAGUUUUGCUAAAUCGAAACUUUCGUUAUAACGAAAUAAUUCGUUAAAACGGGAAAUUCGGGAAACCGCUUUUUUUUUUUUUUCGUGGCAUAGCGUUUUAGCAGCUUGAGCAGCUUCUUAACGGCAGUGAGAGUGAUCAUCCUGCCACAUUCAUAACGGCUUUGUUCCGUUGCUCGAGUCAAUUCACUGCUUAUCUCUCGAAUCGUUUUCAACAUGCCUAUCCAAAAUCAUGAUGAAGUGAGCUCUGCUUCGUAAUCGCAGAGAUGGAGAUUGAGCGCGAACGAAUAAGGCCACGGGAGCAAAGAAUUUGAAAUUAAAUCGCUGUACUUGCUGCGCCAGGACAAGUUGUACUUGCGGUGCCAUGGGACAAACUGGACCCUUCGGGGUGAGCAACUGUUGCAUGCACUGCGCAGUGUGUCACCCGUGCUUUUCAGAGCGCACAUCACGUGUCGUACCACGACGCUUCCCCCACCACCGCAACCGCGUUCUUCACAUCGUUUUGAUCAGCACUCACCACUACACUCAUUGCAAUCGUUCUCAAACCAAAUAAUAAAAGCGGGGUAAAGGCACAUAAUACACAUUGCGAAAUUCGGCUCGCCGCUGCCCACGAACGAAGGACUUUUUUUUCGCUACCAACUUCAUCGCAAGCACACGGUCAAAUUUUGAGCUGUCUUCGGCGAUUGCCACAUGCGCUGGGCCUUGUGCAUCGGUGUAAUAGCGGGCUAUCUUCGGGCGUGGUACUCGGAAGACCCCACGAAUCUAAGUGAUGACUGGGAAGUUCAGUGUCGUUUGUUUGUUUACUUGUGUCACACUGAAUUUCGCAACACCCGUAAGGGUGCCAACGAUAUCCCUGGCGACCAGCGUGCUCGUUCAGUCGGGUAUAAAACAAUCUGUACGUAAGCAAGGUCGUGCAAAAAAAAAAUAAUAAUCCUUGAAUUUCAUUAAAUCGAAAGAUUCGCUGUUAACAAGGGGCACAAUUGACAUGUUUUGUAACACUAGUAAUGACAAAAACAAAAUGACGGAAUUUACCUUGAAGUUUCCCGGAUCGGUGAUGCAUUCAGUUCCGUAAUCACUGCAGUUCCGUGCUUUGUUGUAUACUGGAGGUAGGUGGCACAGAUGCAAAGCGCCAGGGAGUGUAGUUGGCGUAGUGGCACAACCCUAUCCCACCUCUCUUUGCACGUACACCACGUGAGCCCGUCAUCGUAGUGUUCAACGUGCGCCACAUUUAACCACCAUAGAGCCCUGUCCGAAAUCCUACACAUCUCGGCGUGUACUACAUUGGGCCUGAGGAAGUAGCUGCGUCGAUAGCGGGUCGCAGUAUAGCCAGCGUGCGCUGAUUGAAAACUCUCGAAAGCGACCCCUAUAGCGUAUUUGUACCGGACCACGGCAUCGCCCGUCGCAAGUUGACAAUUGCAGCACUUAAGCCUGAAGCAAGCAUAAUAAGAAAACGAAGCGAGGAAUAAAUCGAGCCUUUUCGGAGAGCCAGCCCGGAUAUUCUAAUCGUCCACGGUCUUGUCAUGUGUUACAGUCGGUAGCGUUGACCGCGUAGCAGCACCUUCCAAAACGCUUUUGUCACACUAUAGUCGCGCGUGCGUGACUUGCAGCAGAUCGACUGUAAUAGAAUACGUAACAACCGCACACAUUGUACGCUUUUCAUCGAGCCAACUGUUGCGUCCAAGCCUUUUCCAGAUUGUUUGGCUGAGUGACAAAAGUUUUAAGUGGCUUCUGCGCACCGCGGAAAAAUGGAAUGCCGUUUAUGUUUACGUGCGCCCUCACGUUUGGCCUCCCAAGGCUAAAGACAACGGAAGCCUUUCAAUUGAACAUUUAAGAAUGCAUUACAUGAGUGUGUAGCAGUCGUCACAUCGCAAUUAAGCAUAAAUACUAAACAUUGCAACCGCGUACGUCAUUACGCUAUGGGAUAUUUAACCGACGAAAACGGGCUUGGUUACGGUGGCGAAGUAAGGUACAUCGGCAUUUUUGAAACGGCGCUAAAGGGACGGAAGACACGGGAAAGGAACGCACAGGACACGCGCUCACUGAAAUUUUGUAUAGGAAAAACAGCGAAUACACACAAAGACGGCCAACCUGCGUGCGCACAUAUGCACACUCAACCAACGGCACUUUCGAUUCCGCAAUCGAAGAGGAAAAUAGCUAUAGGAAACUGAUGUGCAACUAUCAUACCGAUUUUACGAUGUGAAACGCUCCCACGAUCUUACGUACCCCCUCUCACUGUUAGAUCUCUCUUAUUUCCUUGUUUGAUUGCGUAACAGGUUUGAUCGCAAAGGUGCCGUUGCAUGGUUGAGUACAUAUAUGCGCGUGCAUGUUGGCAUUUUUGUGUUUUGCCUAAUAAAAAUGGGAGUUGUCAGUCAGCGGCUCUCCUGUGCGCUUCUUCCCGUGUUAAUUUUUCGUCCCUUUAGCGCUAUUUCCAAUUUCCCAGUUGUCCACUUCGCACACGUGAUCAACGUACGGCCGUAGGCGAGAUCGCGGAGAGAGGGGACCGAAUCAGUAGAAAGUAGACCUCACAGAACACCUGUACAGCUUUAAUGUCCAACACGGGCGGUAGAUAGGACGUGUCACGUGACAUCUAGUAGAAAAGCCCAUCGAGACACGCACCGUAGGAGUCCAGCAAUAACUAACAUUCACAGCAACAUGGGCUGAGAUGAAGCGUCAGGGAGACGUGGACAACGCACGGAAAUGCGAGACGUUAGAAAUGUUUCUUAAAGAGGAUCGAGUCGGGACACUUGGAUCUAGUUCCGGCAAAACGUCAUCAGCAUUUUACCUAGCGAGGAGCAAGAUAAUUGGCAGCUCAGUGGAACUUCCGUAGAGCUUGCACUCUUUCUUUCUUUGGCUUUUCAGUAAUGACGGUUCUCUCUCUCUCUCUCUACCAUUCCCUACUUUUCCCCCAAUCCUCCAACCGUCUUUUACGUAUUUCUACUCAGUGUAGUUCCUCCUUGACAAGCACUGCGAUCGGGCUAGUUUGGUACCGAUCCGUAACUUCGGAUAGCGCAGGAGGGACUAAAAACGAAGAAAGUACACGGGACAAGUUACGGUCCUCCAAGGCGCAUUUUAAGUCCCGAAGCUUGCCAUAUCAUUGCGAUAAUUUUUUUCCCUGCUGAAAUCGUCGGGGCUGCAUGGAGUCUAUGAGGAGUUAUGAGAACAUGAUCCGUAUAGACAUGACAAGAACUUUAUUUGAGUCCUGAGGAACUGAGAUCUAGUCGGUGGCUCGGCCCACGAUGGGACCGGGAGACCAAGUCCCGUCGCGAUGUCAUGGGCCCUCUGGACAGCCUGGAGUUGAAUUUGAAGAUUUCUGCUCUUGAGGCCAGCCCUUAACGAAAGAGCAAUGGAAACAUGAUCCGUAGCUCCUCAAAAAUUAAGGGCGAAUGUUAGCUUCCACUUCGCUUGCUGCCACCAGCACUACUUUGCAUAGUUGUCCGUAGGUGGCACGCUCAAUUGUGAAUCUCCCAGUUUUAGGCGUAACGCUUCGCGGUUUCUUGAAACAUGGGCGCGAGGGUCUUUAUGGCCAACUUGGCAAAUGGCAAGGCUAGAAAUCCUCCCUCAUCGUUAGCGAGCGAUGUCUCCAUUUUGUUCUUGUUGGUUGCGGCUCUUUUUUAAUAAGCUCUGCCUGCUCUUGAAAGCCGUCCUGUUCGCUGUUUUCUGCACCAGUAAAGUGUACCCGCAAUAUGAGACACAACAUUACUUCUUAGCAGUACAAUUAAUGACUUGCCCAUACGUAAGUCCGUAUUCGCAAGAAUGUUUCUGUUAAAAAAAAAAAACUAAGUACUUUCCAGACUAAUUCAGAAGCCAUAGAACGGCCCAGUGAGAUAUCGAAAAUAGUAGGUGGUCAACUUUUGCUGAAGCACAACGAACAAACUUCCAACACCGGGUUUUUCACAACCACACAGCGAUCACCCAAUCAUCCAUCACCACGCACAUUGUUACCGACAUCUAUCCCACAUGUUGAUUUCUGGUGAAACUUUUUUGACAUUCAUUGUUGUGUGAAGUUUGUGAACCAUCAGCUUCAAAGUACCCAGCAUGCACAUUCAACCUGCGUCUGCACUGGUGCAUGGUAUGUGUCAGAGAAACAGGGCUUUGGAUUGUUUACUUGAUUCAAUAUUUCCCAAGCAAGAGGUGCCGUCGCUCCUCGCACGUGUACAAACAUUUUUCUCCUCUGCUGUGACAGAAGACACCCCCCCCCCCCCUCCCCCCAAAUAAAUGCAGAAAAUGCA